AGAGUUUGAUCCUGGCUCAGGACGAACGCUGGCGGCACGCUUUAAACAUGCAAGUCGAACGAGAAGCUUUGGUGCUUGCACCGAAGUGGGAAGUGGCGAACGGGUGAGUAACACAUGAGAAACCUGCCCCGAAGAUUGGGAUAAGCCUUGGAAACGAGGUCUAAUACCGAAUAUCUUCUUAUUAUCUUAUGGUAAUUAGAAGAAAGCUCAGGCGCUUUGGGAUGGUCUCGUGGCCUAUCAGCUUGUUGGUGAGGUAAUGGCUCACCAAGGCAACGACGGGUAGCUGGUCUGAGAGGAUGUCCAGCCACAUUGGAACUGAGACACGGUCCAAACUCCUACGGGAGGCAGCAGUUAGGAAUCUUGCACAAUGGGGGAAACCCUGAUGCAGCGAUGCCUCGUGCGGGAUGAAGGCCUUAGGGUUGUAAACCGCUUUCAGUUGGGAAGAAAGUGACGGUACCAACAGAAGAAGCCCCGGCCAACUAUGUGCCAGCAGCCGCGGCGAUACAUAGGGGGCGAGCGUUGUCCGGAAUUAUUGGGCGUAAAGAGCUCGUAGGCGGUUUAAUAAGUCGACAAGUGAAAUCUCCAGGCUCAACCUGGAGCAGCCUUGCGAUACUAUUAUGACUUGAGUGUGGUAGAGGAGUGUGGAAUUCCCAGUGUAGCGGUGAAAUGCGCAGAUAUUGGGAGGAACACCUAUGGCGAAGGCAGCACUCUGGGCCAUUACUGACGCUGAGGAGCGAAAGCGUGGGGAGCGAACAGGAUUAGAUACCCUGGUAGUCCACGCCGUAAACGUUGGACACUAGGUGUGGGAUGCGAUCAACGCAUUCCGUGCCGAAGUUAACGCAUUAAGUGUCCCGCCUGGGGAGUACGAUCGCAAGAUUAAAACUCAAAGGAAUUGACGGGGGCCCG
rnacentral:rRNA from 1 species